GCGCCCGUAGCUCAACGGAUAGAGCAUCUGACUACGGAUCAGAAGGUUGGGGGUUCGAAUCCCUCCGGGCGCA
rfam:Corynebacterium sp. KPL1989 genomic scaffold addTB-supercont1.1, whole genome shotgun sequence.